UACGUAGGGGCAAGCGUUGUCCGGAAUCAUUGGGCGUAAAGAGCGCGUAGGCGGCCCAGUAAGUCCGCUCUGAAAGUCAGGGCUCAACCCCUGAAUGCGGGUGGAUACUGCUGGCUAGAGUCCGGAAGAGGUGAGUGGAAUUCCUGGUGUAGCGGUGAAAUGCGCAGAUAUCAGGAGGAACGCCGAUGGCGAAGGCAGCUCACUGGGACGGUACUGACGCUGAGGCGCGAAAGCGUGGGAGCAAACAGG
rnacentral:rRNA from 1 species